rnacentral:rRNA from 1 species
CUACGCACUCCUACGGGAGGCAGCAGUGGGGAAUAUUGCACAAUGGGCGCAAGCCUGAUGCAGCCAUGCCGCGUGUAUGAAGAAGGCCUUCGGGUUAUAAAGUACUUUCAGCAGUGAGGAAGGUGGAUAUGUUAAUAGCAUAUUCAUUUGACGUUAGCUGCAGAAGAAGCACCGGCUAACUCCGUGCCAGCAGCCGCGGUAAUACGGAGGGUGCGAGCGUUAAUCGGAAUUACUGGGCGUAAAGCGCAUGCAGGUGGUUUGUUAAGUCAGAUGUGAAAGCCCGGGGCUCAACCUCGGAAUUGCAUUUGAAACUGGCAAACUAGAGUACUGUAGAGGGGGUAGAAUUUCAGGUGUAGCGGUGAAAUGCGUAGAGAUCUGAAGGAAUACCGGUGGCGAAGGCGGCCCCCUGGACAGAUACUGACACUCAGAUGCGAAAGCGUGGGGAGCAAACAGGAUUAGAUACCCUGGUAG